rnacentral:rRNA from 1 species
GACGAACGCUGGCGGCGUGCUUAACACAUGCAAGUCGAGCGGUAAGGCCCUUUCGGGGGUACACGAGCGGCGAACGGGUGAGUAACACGUGGGUGACCUGCCCUCAGCUCUGGGAUAAGCCUGGGAAACCGGGUCUAAUACUGGAUAUGACUCCAUGACGCAUGUUGUGAGGUGGAAAGCCUUGUGCGGCUGAGGAUGGGCCCGCGGCCUAUCAGCUUGUUGGUGGGGUGAUGGCCUACCAAGGCGACGACGGGUAGCCGGCCUGAGAGGGCGACCGGCCACACUGGGACUGAGACACGGCCCAGACUCCUACGGGAGGCAGCAGUGGGGAAUCUUGCGCAAUGGGCGAAAGCCUGACGCAGCGACGCCGCGUGAGGGAUGAAGGUCUUCGGAUUGUAAACCCCUUUCGGGAGGGAAGAUGGAAUGGGGUAACCCAUUCGGACGGUACCUCCAGAAGCAGCCACGGCUAACUUCGUGCC